AGGAGCAAGUGCAAUCCCUGGAGAUGAGCCGAAGGGGCCCGAGGCCCCGAGAAGAGCAGGAUGCGAUGCUGGGUGUGUGACCUCAGCCAUGGAAGGGCCACCUGCCACUGGGGGGGCUGGGCCGUCGGGCCUUUGGCUGUGGAGGGAAAAGCGUGGCCACUUGCUGGAGCUGGGAACGUGCAGUGAUGAGCACUAGGACAAGAGGACCGUGACAAACAGACACAGAAGGACAGCAUUGAGUUCAAUGCCUCAAAAUUGCUGUGCCCUCCCUCUGCCAGUGCCCAGAGAUGCUCUCCACACCACACUGCCAGGGUGUGUUAGAGGUGAUUCAAGACAGCUUUUCCUACCUCUUCGGUGCCUCUUUCAGCAAUAUGAAGUUAAAACCAGAGGAAUGAUCAGUGGAGCCUUCUGUUCUGCCACCUUUCUCUGCCUCUCCAAUCCUCUUAUCUUUUUCACAUAGCCUUCAUGGUUAUCACAAGGACUUAAGAUGGAAUGUUAAAUACACUCUUUUAUAUUGGAAAGAAAAUGAAAACCAGGUAUAAAGAAAAGAAAACAAGCCACAGAGAAAAGAAAACAAACUAUGAAUAAUUAAUUUAUUGUAACUCAUAAGCCCAGCCUUGUAUAAAAAAUGUUGUAAUCCUGUUAUAUUUCUUUGUCUUAUUCCUAUUAGCAAGAAUUUGGCUUUUAACUUCUAAGCACUAUCCCAGUUUCUCUUAGUGGUGCAUCCCAGAAUGGCUAUUCCUAGCUUUUUGAUUAAAUAAACUCUUUAAAAUAGAAA